AUAGGUUGGACAGCUAUAUGU
rnacentral:siRNA from 1 species